rnacentral:rRNA from 1 species
GCGACCCCAGGUCAGGCGGGCC